rnacentral:rRNA from 1 species
GAUGAACGCUGGCGGCGUGCCUAAUACAUGCAAGUCGAGCGGGCGGACGAGAAGCUUGCUUCUCUGAUGUUAGCGGCGGACGGGUGAGUAACACGUGGAUAACCUACCUAUAAGACUGGGAUAACUUCGGGAAACCGUAGCUAAUACCGGAUAAUAUUUUGAACCGCAUGGUUCAAAAGUGAAAGACGGUCUUGCUGUCACUUAUAGAUGGAUCCGCGCUGCAUUAGCUAGUUGGUAAGGUAACGGCUUACCAAGGCAACGAUGCAUAGCCGACCUGAGAGGGUGAUCGGCCACACUGGAACUGAGACACGGUCCAGACUCCUACGGGAGGCAGCAGUAGGGAAUCUUCCGCAAUGGGCGAAAGCCUGACGGAGCAACGCCGCGUGAGUGAUGAAGGUCUUCGGAUCGUAAAACUCUGUUAUUAGGGAAGAACAUAUGUGUAAGUAACUGUGCACAUCUUGACGGUACCUAAUCAGAAAGCCACGGCUAACUACGUG